UUAUUAAUAAUAAUAUUGUGAUAACGUCCGGAUCGUUGCACGGGCUAAUAAAAUAAUUACACGAUACAUAAUAUAGAUGAUCGUUAUUUUAGUCAUUUGUUUGGUGAUAAUAAUUAAUUUUUAUUUUCUCACCACUCGUCUCCUGACCCGUAGGUGUGUUUUAACCAUUUUACGGGUAAACAUUAAUGUACGCCAACUGUGUUGUUGGCCUACUACCGAUCACCACGACUGUUAUUAUACACUUCGACUUAGUAGAGGGACUACAAACAACUGUUUCAACACACAUUUAUACAGCAUCAUGUUAUAACGUUACAGAUACGUGUUCGCCAGCUACUAAUAUGGAGCUCUUCUACACCAUUCGACGGUUGGAUUUUGUAGUGGCGAAUACGUAAAAUGCUCUAUUCCCAGGAUCUAGGUAUCUAUGUAUUAUGUUGCAAGAUCCCUACAUCAAUUUAUUUUUUAUUGUGCAAUAAAUUAUGACAACAAUUUUCUAAUCAAUCCUCAUAUUUGGACUGAUCCCGGCAACUAAGGCCAUUAGCUGUGGAUAGGAACAGUAGGUUUUUUUUGUAAGAUUUAUAAAGUUUUGGAUAGUACACAGUUGGAGCACGUGUGUGUAUGUGUGUGCGCAAUGGAUUCAUCACUAAGAACUCGGGUAGUCACCCAUCUGAAAGCUAGUGACGACAGCCGAUGCUUGACCUCAGAACAUAUUAAUGACUGAGACAACCACCGCACCACACCAGUCCACUUUUUAAGUUUUAUUUAUUAUUUAUUGUACAAAUAAAAUUAGUAUGAAUUAUAUGAUAAUA